rnacentral:rRNA from 1 species
UACAGAGGGGGCAAGCGUUGUUCGGAAUUAUUGGGCGUAAAGGGCGCGUAGGCGGUGCGGUAAGUCACCUGUGAAAUCUCUGGGCUCAACUCAGAGUCUGCAGGCGAAACUGCCGUGCUUGAGUGUGGGAGAGGUGAGUGGAAUUCUCGGUGUAGCGGUGAAAUGCGUAGAUAUCGGGAGGAACACCUGUGGCGAAGGCGGCUCUCUGGCCCGGACCUGACGCUGAGGCGCGAAAGCGUGGGGAGCAAACAGG